rnacentral:rRNA from 1 species
UACGAAGGGUGCAAACGUUGCUCGGAAUUAUUGGGCGUAAAGCGCACGUAGGCGGCUUUGCAAGUCGGAUGUGAAAUCCCUCGGCUUAACCAAGGAAGUGCAUCCGAAACUGCAGAGCUUGAGUACUUAAGAGGAUCGCGGAAUUCCCGGUGUAGAGGUGAAAUUCGUAGAUAUCGGGAGGAACACCAGUGGCGAAGGCGGCGAUCUGGGAAGAUACUGACGCUGAGGUGCGAAAGCGUGGGGAG